UCCAAGGGGGUAGUGAUGCUGCAAAAAUAUGCAGAAAGAUAAUGCGAACAUGCAUGACAAAUGGAUGCAUGAGCCAGUUCAGUGGCAUUGGCCAAAAGGGCAAGGCUAGAUUUAUGGACACCAAAUUAUUUACUAUUGUUAUAGAUGCUGGAAGAAAAGCUUUAAAAAAAAACAAAUUUCAGUGGAAGAACUAAAGAAUGAGGUGUUUGAGGUGUUAAGAAGUGCCCCGAAUAAACCAGGAGGCUCCAAUUACAUGAAGAAACAAAAGGAAAAGAGGCGGAGGUGCUUGCCUGAAAUCCCAGAGGAUGACUGAUUGUGAGACGUUACACAUUUCUACACUGUGUUUCGGAAAUUCCAGAGAACAGAGGAUGACUGAUUGUGAGACGUUACAAAUUUCUACACUGUGUUUCGGAAAUCCCAGAGAACAGAGAAUGACUUACACGACUUUAAAAAUUCCCCACUAUGUUUUUUAAAAUCCAAUGUUACUGUUAUAUUUGCCUUUUUUUCAUAUCUAAAUAGUAAAUAUUUAAAACUCUAAAUAAUAUCUUUUGAAUCCAUAUCUCCACAGGACAGUGGUAUUUAAAUGUCAUUUUGCAUCCAUCGUCAUUCCCACAUGCUAAAAACAAAAAUCAAAGAAUAACAGAAAAGAAAAAAGUAAACACUAAUCAAAUAAGAUUGAAUACAAUGCUUCAUAUAG